GACGAACGCUGGCGGCGUGCCUAAUACAUGCAAGUUGAGCGCUGAAGGUUGGUACUUGUACCAACUGGAUGAGCAGCGAACGGGUGAGUAACGCGUGGGGAAUCUGCCUUUGAGCGGGGGACAACAUUUGGAAACGAAUGCUAAUACCGCAUAAAAACUUUAAACACAAGUUUUAAGUUUGAAAGAUGCAAUUGCAUCACUCAAAGGUGAUCUCGCGUUGUAUUAGUUAGUUGGUGAGGUAAAGGCUCACCAAGGCGAUGAUACAUAGCCGACCUGAGAGGGCGAUCAGCCACAUUGGGACUGUGACACGGCCCAAACUCCUACGGGAAGCAGCAGUAGUGCAACUUCGGCCAUGGACGAAAGUCUGACCGAGCAACGCCGCGGCAGUAAAGAAGGGUUUCGGAUCGUAAAACUCUGUUUGUAGAGAAUAACGUUGGUGAGAGUGGAAAGCUCAUCAAGUGACGGUAACUACCCAGAAAGGGACGGCUAACUACGUG
rnacentral:rRNA from 1 species